CAGGGAAUAUUAGUAAUGGGCGAAAGCCUGAACUAGCAACGCCGCGUGUGCGAAGAAGGCCUUCGGGUCGUAAAGCACUUUUUGAGAGGAUGAGGAAGGACGGUACUCUCAGAAUAAGUCUCGGCUAACUACGUGCCAGCAGCCGCGGUAACACGUAGGAGGCAAACGUUAUCCGGAUUUACUGGGCGUAAAGCGCGUGUAGGUGGUUUGGUAAGUAGGGCGUGAAAGCUCCUGGCUCAACUGGGAGAGGACGUUCUAAACUGCCAAGCUUGAGGAUGGUAGAGGGAGGUGGAAUUCCGGGUGUAGCGGUGGAAUGCGCAGAUAUCCGGAGGAACACCAGUGGCGAAGGCGGCCUCCUGGACCACUCCUGACACUCAGGCGCGAAAGCUAGGGUAGCAAACGG
rnacentral:rRNA from 1 species